AACUUCAGCUGUCCCAUAACUGGGUCUAAUUCCUUCAGUUUUUAUAACCAUAUUAGUUAUUGUUGUUGCUCACUGGUUUCCACAUGAUACAUAUGGUUAAUAGAAACUUUACAGCAAUGGUUAUGUUUAUAUUGAGAUUGAAAAGACCAAAACAAUAGUUUUUACAGACAUCUUACAUGUAACAGAAAAAUCAACAUGUUCAUGUGUAUGACCUAUUGACAUGUAAAUUGCACCCCACUGAUAUAUACUAUAGUUUUAUAUAAACAUAAAUCAGUACCUCAAGUGUAGGAUCCUCCCCUUAUUAGAAACUUCCAUUUGAUUUUUAAAGGGUAAAGGAUAAAAAAAAUUAAAAAAGGCAGGACAGGAUCAUCAGAAGUUUUGAGGGAAAAAAGGCUGGAUGAGCAACUUUGUCCACAAAAUGGCAGGAUGACAAAUAAUGUUAACAAAAAGUCAGAAUAAAAUCAAUAAAAGAAUAAAACAGGACCCAAUAUUUAGAUAGAUGAAAAUAAAAAGGCAAGAAAGAGAUAAUCUCAGAUUACAACUAAAAGAAGUACAGGAGCCCCCCCCCCCCCUAAAAUUUCAAAUGGUAGCUAAAAGGGGGCUAUUUUGUAUUUCUAAAGUGUUAUUUAAUAAAAAAAAAAAAAAAGAACUAAUGUAAACUACCAGGCAAUUGGAAAAAAAAAAUAAACUGUCACAUAUAAUUUAGUUUUUAACUUGCGUGUUCCAAUAGGAAGUGUAACCCCAAGGGUGACUGGGGUAUAAAAAUAUGGUCACUUGGUCUUCUCCCGACCGGCAGUAAAACGCUUGCUGAAGUGGGGCGUCCGUUUGGCUGUGCGGGAUGUAUCAAGUUCGCAGUCACGUCCGUCAGAAGGGAACGUUAAAUCCGAUGCCUCGUGUAAAGAGAGUGCCACGCUCUUUGCACGUUAAGAACCCUUGCAACAACUCUUUGAGGAGUCCGUAGGUGGCCUGUUGCAAGGCAAAAUUUCUGUCUCUAUCCAAUAUACCCUCAUUUUCCAGUGGCAGUCCAAAUUUUCCCGACCAUCAUCCUAGAUGGCCUCUAUUACAACAACCUACCUAUUGUAUUUAUUGUGAACUUGUUCUCGUCCUGAAUAUGCAUGAAAUAUUUGCCACUGGACGUUAAGCAACCAACAAUCAAUCAACCAAUAGGAAGUGUGAGGCCAUAACACUUCUGAAUCUUCUCUACAUCAUUGAUGGUGAUAUUGCGGCUAGGCUUUGGCUUUUUAACACCAACA
rnacentral:lncRNA from 1 species